GACGAACGCUGGCGGCGUGCCUAAUACAUGCAAGUCGAACGCAGUUGCGAACGGGUGAGUAACGCGUAGGUAACUGCCUCAUAGCGGGGGAUAACUCUUGGAAACGCUAGCUACUACCGCCUACUGUGAGCUGGACCUGCGUUGUAUUAGCUAGUUGGUGAGGUAAAGGCUCACCAAGGCGACGAUACAUAGCCGACCUGAGAGGGUGAACGGCCACACUGGGACUGAGACACGGCCCAGACUCCUACGGGAGGCAGCAGUGGGGAAUCUUCGGCAAUGGACGGAAGUCUGACCGAGCAACGCCGCGUGAGUGAUGAAGGGUUUCGGGUCGUAAAGCUCUGUUGAUAGAGAAGCGGUAACUAAACAGAAAGGGACGGCUAACUACGUGCCAGCAGCCGCGGUAAUAC
rnacentral:rRNA from 1 species